AUCAGACCCCUUUAAUAACACUGAGAACUUCUAUAAAAUUAUAGAACUUUUUAUGCUAAAACUAGUAACAAGAGAUCACCUCCCUCUAUAAUGCGAGUAUAGGUCAGCAAGAACCCACCGCUGACAAUUAACAGACCUAAAUAUAAGUAACAACCACCCACAAGAAAACCCUACUCAAUAUAACUGUUAACCUAACACCAGAGCAUUCCAAGAAAGAUUAAAAGAAAGAGAAGGAAUUCCGCAAACAUAGCCCCGCCUGUUUACCAAAAACAUCGCCUCUUGCCCCCCCCCCAUAAGAGGUCUAGCCUGCCCAGUGACUCUGUUUAACGGCCGCGGUAUACUAACCGUGCGAAGGUAGCGUAAUCACUUGUUUCCUAAAUAGAGACUAGUAUGAAAGGCAUCACGAGGACUAGACUGUCUCCUCUCUCUAAUCAGUGAACCUAAUAACCCCGUGAAGAAGCGGGGAUUCUUAUAUAAGACGAGAAGACCCUAUGGAGCUUAAAACAUCAUCUCACCUGCCUCCUCAUUAAAUUUUUACUCACGGCACACUGAUUAUAUGUUUUUGAUUGGGGUGAUCGCGGAGAAAAACCCAUCCUCCGUAAUGAACGGAACUUCCUUAAACAACAAGAGACAACUUUAUGUAUCAGCAAACUGACAUUAUUGACCCAAUACAUUUGAUUAACGAACCAAGUUACCCUAGGGAUAACAGCGCAAUCCAC
rnacentral:rRNA from 1 species